rnacentral:rRNA from 1 species
CCUACGGGGGGCUGCAGUCGAGAAUCAUUCGCAAUGGGCGAAAGCCUGACGAUGCGACGCCGCGUGUAUGAAGAAGGCCUUCGGGUUGUAAAGUACUUUCGCCAAGGAACAAGAGAAGCCGGCUAACAUCCGGUGGAUUUGAGGGUAUUUGGUAAAGAAGCACCGGCUAACUCCGUGCCAGCAGCUGCGGUAAUACGGAGGGUGCAAGCGUUAAUCGGAAUUAUUGGGCGUAAAGGGCGCGUAGACGGGGAUGCAAGUCAGAUGUUAAAGACCGA